GGAGUCGAGAGUCAGCUGGGUCAGGAUACUGGAAGAGCAGAAGCAAAAGGCCAAAUUGUGUUCAGAACCUCAAAUCAGAUGAGUCACCCCGAGUCAGGAUGCCAGGAAAUCAAGCCUGGGGAGUGGGAGCAGGAACAGCUGACACAUGGUCCAGAGUGGGGGAGGAGCUGGGUGUUCAGACAGUUUCUUGUUCCUACUGCAGGUUUAAGGAGGUCCUGGGGGCCGGUUAGCUGCUCUGGGACUCUGCCAAUAGGCCUCAGGGAUGGAGCCUCAAACUGGGUCUGGACUUCAUAAGUCCUAGGUAAGCAGUUUUUCGUAGGCUUCCAGGUGACGUGCUGGAGUGUGGCUGCUCCCAGGAACUCUGCAGACCAGGGUUA